rnacentral:rRNA from 1 species
CAGUAGCCGCGGGAAUACGGAGGGGGCUAGCGCUGUUCGGAAUUACUGGGCGUAAAGCGCACGUAGGCGGCUUGGUAAGUUAGAGGUGAAAGCCCAGGGCUCAACCCUGGAAUUGCCUUUAAGACUGCCGAGCUAGUAGGUGAGAGAGGUGAGUGGAAUUCCGGUGUAGCGGUGAAAUGCGUAGAUAUCAGGAGGAACACCAAUAGCGAAGGCAGCUCGCUGGGACGUUACUGACACUAAGGCGCGAAAGCGUGGGGAGCGAACAGGAUUAGAUACCCCCGUAGUCCCUGUCUCUUAUACA